UCUGACACUCCUAGAGAUAGGAUUUUCCCCUUCGGGGGAUAGAGUGACAGGUGGUGCAUGGUUGUCGUCAGCUCGUGUCGUGAGAUGUUGGGUUAAGUCCCGCAACGAGCGCAACCCUUGAUNUUAGUUGCCAGCAUUCAGUUGGGCACUAUAAGGUGACUGCCGGUGACAAACCGGAGGAAGGUGGGGAUGACGUCAAAUCAUCAUGCCCCUUAUGACCUGGGCUACACACGUGCUACAAUGGAUGGUACAAAGGGCAGCGAAGCCGCGAGGUGGAGCCAAUCCCAUAAAACCAUUCUCAGUUCGGAUUGCAGGCUGCAACUCGCCUGCAUGAAGCCGGAAUCGCUAGUAAUCGCGGAUCAGCAUGCCGCGGUGAAUACGUUCCCGGGCCUUGUACACACCGCCCGUCACACCACGAGAGUUUGUAACACCCGAAGUCGGUGGGGUAACCGCAAGGAGCCAGCCGCCUAAGGUGGGACAGAUGAUUGGGGUGAAGUCGUAACAAGGUAGCCGUAUCGGAAGGUGCGGCUGGAACACCU
rnacentral:rRNA from 1 species